GUGCGUUCGCGGCGCCGUAAAGGCUGCGCUCUAAUAUUGCCAAAGAUGUUUCAUUGCGAAAGCACUUCUACGGACACUCCAGCCGCAUUUCUGGUGUCGCCGUCGCCGUAAGGUUCUGUAUGAGUGAAAGCGUGUGAAGUGUUUGCCUUCCACCCGCCACUUUCUGCUGUCCUCUCCUUCUCGACAGCGCGUGUCGUGCACGUCCAAAAAAUCGGGACGGCUACAUAACGCACGUCUCUCUGCAAGGGCCUUUGAUGCGGCGCUUAGUGGCGCUCCAAGCUGCGACACCGGCAUACUUUGCGUGGCGGCUUUUAAUGGCGUUCCGGGCAAUAAAUGCGUGGCGACACUCGGUCCGAGCCCAAGACACCCACCGCCGACGCUCAGUGACCGCUGCUGCUGCGCACGAGGAUCCCGGGUUCGAUUACACGUUAAGCCUCUGCAAGCACAGCUGGUCGAUGUCGCCAACCUGGGCGAUCGAUAUUCGACAAGAAAGAAUUCCCAUAGAAGUUCCCGACCACCAUGCUGACA